rnacentral:lncRNA from 1 species
CACCUUUGUUGCCUCCGCCUCAUUCAAGCAAAAAACUAAUUAAUUGCGCUAUCUGUAGUUGAUCUGCCCCUAGAUUUCUUGUUGCCUCAUAGAUCCUCUAUUCCUUGAGGAGGACCAAAUCUUAGUUUUAUCUUAGACUCACUGUUGGUAAGGAUUAUCAAUGCAUCAAUUCUUUGGAAUGAUAUAUCCAUGCUCUCAAGACCACAACAUCAAUAAUGAUAAAGACAUAGUUACUACCACAUGAUCUUUCUACUAGUCAAUGGAGUAAAAACCAUCACUGCCAUUAUACAUGCGCACAUACAAUAAUAUAAUAAAUAAUACGCCACAACCCACUAACAAUCACAAUUUUAAAUUGAAAAAGCUCCUCUAUCAAAUAUGGAACUGGCACAACAGAUUCAAUAGUAGCACACUUGAAGGCAA